GAAGACACUAGAGUGAAAGAGCUUUUGUGGCUCUGCUUUUUGUUUCUUAUUCCGAAAUUUAAGGCAGCAUAUUGGUAGUCUGAUUUGAGAAGUCCAGUGCGAGCGAGUGAAGAGAUGAAUGAACCACCAAAGUAUGCAUAUCCCUACCCUGCUCAAGGUAACUAUUAUGGUCCUCCGGUGAUGGCACCGCCACAGUACUACGCACCUCCGCCGCCCAGGAGGGAACCAGGCUUUCUUGAAGGAUGUCUCGCAGCUUUGUGUUGCUGUUGCCUGUUUGAAGAGUGCUGCGAUCUCUCUAUCUUCAUCGGUUGACUAUAAAUCCUUCAUCUUCCUCCUUGUCUACAAGACUCCACCAAAUUUAGUAAUUAAUCACAUCUCAUAGCGUAAAUUUGCUUUACAUCUCAUGUACUGUAAGUUUCUGUAAUGCAUUCCAUCAAAAUUAAGUGCAUAUUUGGGUAGUGGGAGCUGGGCUUCUCUUGUUAAUAAGAUGGUUUCUGUUUUGGUGA